rnacentral:rRNA from 1 species
UGUGAACUCGAAGAGUAGGGCGGGACACGUGGUAUCCUGUCUGAAUAUGGGGGGACCAUCCUCCAAGGCUAAAUACUCCUGACUGACCGAUAGUGAACCAGUACCGUGAGGGAAAGGCGAAAAGAACCCCGGCGAGGGGAGUGAAAAAGAACCUGAAACCGUGUACGUACAAGCAGUGGGAGCACCUUUAUGGUGUGACUGCGUACCUUUUGUAUAAUGGGUCAGCGACUUAUAUUCUGUAGCAAGGUUAACCGUAUAGGGGAGCCGCAGGGAAACCGAGUCUUAACUGGGCGUUAAGUUGCAGGGUAUAGACCCGAAACCCGGUGAUCUAGCCA